rnacentral:lncRNA from 1 species
CAGCAUCUCUUGCCAUCUCGCCUCUCUUCCCAGUUCAACAGUGUUGGACAACUCGAGAAAUUCAGGUUGGCCAGGAAGGCUACAGAAGCCGACCCUGGAUGACUUAAAUAAAAAAAGAAGAGUGAAUUGAAUGAAUGCGUCAAUUCACAGUCAUGAUGGCAAAACCGAAGAACAGGUUGAGAGGAUGGUCGGAGCCAUGGGAGAGAAAGGCGGUCAGAAUCACAACACAAAUCAGACCACAGUGCAGCCUGAGACAUCAGAAAGAAUCUCUACUGCUCUCGCUUCUCUGUCGCCGCCUCCAGAGUCAAAGCCCCAGGGGAAACAGCCAACUGGCCCCAGUUCCCAUGAAGUGAGGAGGAGCUGGUGUCUGAGCUGA